GACGAACGCUGGCGGCGUGCCUAAUACAUGCAAGUCGAACGCUUCUUUUUCCACCGGAGCUUGCUCCACCGGAAAAAGAGGAGUGGCGAACGGGUGAGUAACACGUGGGUAACCUGCCCAUCAGAAGGGGAUAACACUUGGAAACAGGUGCUAAUACCGUAUAACAAUCGAAACCGCAUGGUUUUGAUUUGAAAGGCGCUUUCGGGUGUCGCUGAUGGAUGGACCCGCGGUGCAUUAGCUAGUUGGUGAGGUAACGGCUCACCAAGGCCACGAUGCAUAGCCGACCUGGGAGGGUGAUCGGCCACAUUGGGACUGAGACACGGAUCAAACUCCUACGGGAGGCAGCAGUAGGGAAUCGUCGGCAAUGGACGAAAGUCUGACCGAGCAACGCCGCGUGAGUGAAGAAGGUUUUCGGAUCGUAAAACUCUGUUGUUAGAGAAGAACAAGGAUGAGAGUAACUGUUCGUCCCUUGACGGUAUCUAACCAGAAAGCCACGGCUAACUACGUGCCAGCCGCCGCGGUAA
rnacentral:rRNA from 1 species